rnacentral:lncRNA from 1 species
AAAAUAGCAAAUGAUAAAAUAAAAAAUAUUAAAAAUCACUUUUAGAAACUAGAAAUUAAAAGAGGAAUAAUGCAGUUGGUCUCAUAUUUUUUGGACCAAUAAUGAGAGAGAUAUGAAUUUUAGAAAUAAAAUGGAAUUAAAAGAAGUAAAAGAAAUAAAAGAAAUAAAAGAAAAUAGAAAUCAGAAUUUAAAAUAGCAAAAA